GGACAGAGACUCUGGAAAGUAGGUUUGUUUGUAUGACUGUCCACACAGAAAGUGAAUUUAUUAGUUAGCAACAUCAUUUAAAUGAAACAAGCUCGCUUGUAGAGUUGUUAAAUAUUCCCGUUUUGACAAGUCAGCUAACAAAGAUGGAGGGAGGAGAGGACAACAUGUCAGGAUGUGGAGCCUCCAUGAAGAAGAGUUAGCUUUUGUCAAAAGAGGACAUAACUCUGCUCCUGUCUGCCUUUACAAACUGGGGGUGCACUGUCUACUAUAGAUAAUGAGGCUCCUCACACUGUGUUUCAUCUUCUGUGGAAUGACAGCAAUGUAAGACCAGCGAGAGGAACUCAUCUCAAGGCCGAGUCAACCCUACACCCCUUUUUUAUGUAUGUAUGAGCCACCAACACACCCUGACAGCAAAGAGAAGAAGAUUGAGAGUCCUGGAGAGGGAUCACGCCCACUCAGGUCAGAAAGCACGGAGAGACCUGAGCUCAUACCUCAACUUUCUCCACCACCUGCUUGCCAAAGGAGCAGACCUUUGUUGAACAUGUGAUGGUCAUGUUCUCUGAGCUCUCAUACUGACUUGUGA